GCAUCCCUAGCUCAGUUGGCAGAGCACACGACCGAUAAUCGUGAGGCCGAUGGUUCGAGUCCAUCGGGAUGCA
rnacentral:tRNA from 1 species